CCACAGGGGACUUCUGCCAGGCCCUGGGCCAUCCUCACUGAGGGCACUUUUUGGAUGUUGGCACAAAAAAGGGCUUCUGGUGAGGGUGGCCCAGACGGCGACAGCUCUGCACCCUGCCC
rnacentral:precursor_RNA from 15 species